UACAGAGGUCCCGAGCGUUGUUCGGAUUUAUUGGGCGUAAAGAGCGUGUAGGCGGCUAUGCAGGUCCGUUGUGAAAACUCGAGGCUCAACCUCGAGACGCCGAUGGAAACCGUAUGGCUAGAGUCCGGAAGAGGAGAGCGGAAUUCCUGGUGUAGCGGUGAAAUGCGCAGAUAUCAGGAAGAACACCCGUGGCGAAGGCGGCUCUCUGGGACGGUACUGACGCUGAGACGCGAAAGCGUGGGGAGCGAACAGG
rnacentral:rRNA from 1 species